GAGUUUGAUCCUGGCUCAGGACGAACGCUGGCGGCGCGCCUAACACAUGCAAGUCGAACGGAAUCAAGAGGAGCUUGCUUUUCUUAGCUUAGUGGCGAACGGGUGAGUAACGCGUGAGUAACCUGCCCUGGAGUGGGGGACAACAGUUGGAAACGACUGCUAAUACCGCAUAAGCCCACGAUCCGGCAUCGGAUUGAGGGAAAAGGAUUUAUUCGCUUCAGGAUGGACUCGCGUCCAAUUAGCUAGUUGGUGAGGUAACGGCCCACCAAGGCGACGAUUGGUAGCCGGACUGAGAGGUUGAACGGCCACAUUGGGACUGAGACACGGCCCAGACUCCUACGGGAGGCAGCAGUGGGGGAUAUUGCACAAUGGGGGAAACCCUGAUGCAGCGACGCCGCGUGGAGGAAGAAGGUUUUCGGAUUGUAAACUCCUGUCGUUAGGGACGAUAAUGACGGUACCUAACAAGAAAGCACCGGCUAACUACGUGCCAGCCGCCGCGGUAAUAC
rnacentral:rRNA from 1 species